rnacentral:rRNA from 1 species
UUGAUAAUGCAAGAUGUGGGGUACGUACUGAAUCUGUGUGAGGAUACAGCAAUGAAUGAAACGUCAAUUCUACGGAGGCAGCAGUGGGAAUAUUGCACAAUGGGCGCAAGCGUGAUGCAGCCAUGCGGCGUGUAUGAAGAAGGCCUUCGGGUUGUAAAGCACUUUCAGCGGGGAGGAAGGUGUUGUGGUUAAUCACCGCAGCGAUUGACGUUACCCGCAGAAGAAGCACCGGCUAACUCCGUGCCAGCAGCCGCGGUAAUACGGAGGGUGCAAGCGUUAAUCGGAAUUACUGGGCGUAAAGCGCACGCAGGCGGUCUGUCAAGUCGGAUGUGAAAUCCCCGGGCUCACACCUGGGAACUGCAUUCGAAACUGGCAGGCUAGAGUGGUGUAGAGGGGGGUAGAAUUCCAGGUGUAGCGGUGAAAUGCGUAGAGAUCUGGAGGAAUACCGGUGGCGAAGGCGGCCCCCUGGCACAAAGACAGACGCUCAGGUGCGAAAGCGUGGGGAGCAAACAGAAUUAGAUACCCUGGUAGUCCACGCCGUAAACAAUGUCAACUUGGAGGUUGUGCCCUUGAGGACGUGGCUUCCGGAGCUAACGCGUUAAGUCGACCGC